rnacentral:lncRNA from 1 species
AGGUGAAAAGUACGUGAGGGUGGCUCUGACAUGACGCUCCCUUGUCGCCUAUGUCCAGGUGAUGCAAGCCAGAAAGACCAUUACGUGAAGAAAUGACGGGCGAACAUAUACGUGGAGAACGAACGAAGUGAUUGUGCGAGCAGGCCAAGCCAGAAAGUUGCAAGGAAACUAUUAGUGCCACAAAACCAGCCACCGCCGCCUCUAGCACCAUCCGGUGCCCGUGCUGCAAGUACAGUCAUAACCCCUGUGGAGGGGAUCCGACCCCAUGGAGAACGCAGGGGCUGACGAGCUGCGUUUAAGUAUGCUUUGCUGGUGCUUUUAGCUAUUUCAAAAGACACAAGAAGUGGCCCGACAUCUAUUGGCCAUAGGCUGCUCUUCCUCAUCUCAAUGAGCAUAGCUCUUGGAAUGCUGGCUCCGCCAAAAAACUAGCCAUAAAGUUCAAAGUAAAGUUUUUAAACCAUGUA